GGGCUUUAAAUCCGCCAGCGGGCCGACUAUAUGUCAGGUGUUCUUCGGAACUAUGGGCAUAAACGCGCAUGUAAUAAACGGAUCGGACCCGGGGGCGGUACCCGGCGGCUCCACCAUAUUUCCUUAUUGGGGGAACUUGGGGCCGAAACAGGAUCGACGAACGCGUAAAGAUGUAGCUUUGCUUCGGUGAGAUACCACCGUUAUCGGUUCAUAAAGUACAAUUGCCAAUAACAAUCGUGCUCCGGUCGCAAUGGCUGCGUAAGCAGUCUGAGUAACCGAAACUUAAGCCCUGUCGCCUAGCCGCGGCAGGCGGGGUUCGCAGGUACCUGGCAACAGAAACCUGCACU
rnacentral:tmRNA from 1 species